AUUGAACGCUGGCGGCAGGCUUAACACAUGCAAGUCGAGCGAGCGGCGGACGGGUGAGUAAUGUCUGGGAAACUGCCUGAUGGAGGGGGAUAACUACUGGAAACGGUAGCUAAUACCGCAUACCAUCAGAUGAGCCCAGAUGGGAUUAGCUAGUAGGUGGGGUAAUGGCUCACGUAGGCGACGAUCUCUAGCUGGUCUGAGAGGCUGACCAGCCACACUGGAACUGAGACACGGUCCAGACGCCUACGGGAGUCCGCAGUGGGGAAUAUUGCACAAUGGGCGCAAUCCUGAGGCAGCCAUGCAGCGUGUGUGAAGAAGGACUUCGGGGUGUAAAGCACUUUCAGCGAGGAGGAGUUACUCGCAGAAGAAGCACCGGCUAACUCCGUGCCAGCAGCCGCGGUAAUAC
rnacentral:rRNA from 1 species